rnacentral:lncRNA from 1 species
GUGAUACCAUGUCAGAAGUGGUUCUAGGUAUGUAUUGUUGGAGAGUGAUACCAUGUCAGAAAUGGUUCUAGGUAUGUAUUGUUGGAGAGAGUGAUACCAUGUCAGAAGUGGUUCUAGGUAUGUAUUGUUGGAGAGAGUGAUACAUGUCAGAAGUGGUUCUAGGUAUGUAUUGUUGGAGAGAGCGAUACCAUGUCAGAAGUGGUUCUAGGUAUGUAUUGUUGGAGAGAGUGAUACAUGUCAGAAGUGGUUCUAGGUAUGUAUUGUUGGAGAGUGAUACCAUGUCAGAAGUGGUUCUAGGUAUGUAUUGUUGGAGAGAGCGAUACCAUGUCAGAAGUGGUUCUAGGUAUGUAUUGUUAGAGAGUGAUACCACGUCAGAAGUGGUUCCAGGUAUGUAUUGUUAGAGAGUGAUACCAUGCUUGUCUGAAGUGUUUACAGGUCAGAGGUCAUAGGACCACUAAGGGCUGAGGCCUAGAUAAGACACCCAGGAACCCUGAUCCAUCGUAAUGCUACCCUGGACACCCAGAGACCCUGGUCCAUAGUAAUGCCCUAUAUAGGGAGAAGGGUUCCAUUUGGGACGCAGAGCCAAAGUCUCAGUCUGGGCGGAGGUCCUCAAAGAUACAUUAUACAGUCCACAUUGUGUGGUCCUUUGUGCUUUUAUUUCAGUCAGAUACAUUAUACAGUCCACAUUUUUUGUGGUCCUUUGUGC